AAUAACAAUUCACGCCUCCUCUGUUUCUCUCUCACACUCAGUCACUUGGUUCUCUCUCCUUCAUGCUCUCUCCCUCUCUCUCUCUCUAUCACACACAAUCUCUCGGGUUUCUCUCAUUCAUACCGGUACUCUGUAUUCCUUCCCAUUGAGCCGCUGAAGCACACCAUGGCGACACCGAUGCUGAAACACACCACGACCUCUCUAUCACACAGUCCCUCGUCGUGGUGUGGUAGCCGCUGAGCCACCGAAGGACCAGGCGUGCUAGCCGCUGAACUAUUGAAGAGCCAGGCAACGUAUUGAGCUGCUAAAGAACUAGGCAGUCACUGAAGAACCAGGCGACGCUCUACACCAAUCUGCCAACCUUCAUUUGUCUCCGAGAAUUACAGGGAUUUGACUGGCACUUCUUGGUCGCUCAUAAACUUCAUCAGCUUUUACUUAAUUACUUUCUUGUUGCUACUGAAUUUGAGGGGGAUGACAGCGGAACAGAUGUGAGAUAAAACUAUAAUGGUGACAUAACACACAACAAUAAUUCAGUAUGUCAUUUCUAAAUUCAUGUUCUGUUUUAGUGCCUAUUACCGGUAUUGCUUUUAAUCUCUAUGUUUUGUAUUUGUUUAUUUGCUUAUGUGUCUAACUGAAGCAGUAUAUUGGUUUGAGAGAUUGUGUACUCCUAUUAUAUUGGUUUGAGAGAUUUUGUACUCUUGUCAUAUUGGUUUGAGAGAUUUUGGGGUAUUUUAUAUCUGUUCUCAGUUGUAAUUUCUCAGAUUUGGUAUAAAUUAAAAAAAUAAAAAGUUUUAUUAAAAAAAAUGAUUUGAUUUGGGUUCAGGGUGUGGCUCUAUCUUCCUAAAGAAAACCCAUAGAUUGUCCUUAUUUUGUCAUUAAUAUCAAGUUUUUUUUUUCUAUUCUAGUGUAAGAGUAUUUUAUUUUUAUAUUUUUGCUCUGCUAUGAGCAGGGGAUGCAGUUCUUAGUUUAUCAUUAAUGGUGUUAUGUGUUCUUGUUUUGUUUGAUUCAGAGAUGGAAUAGUUAUAAAUCGAUGGGUCCCAUUUACAGUUGCAUGAAGCAACAAUUAUAAAAAACAAGAGUAUCAAUGAAAAACAUGAUAA